rnacentral:rRNA from 1 species
GAUGAACGCUGGCGGCGUGCCUAAUACAUGCAAGUCGAGCGAACAGACGAGGAGCUUGCUCCUCUGACGUUAGCGGCGGGCGGGUGAGUAACACGUGGAUAACCUACCUAUAAGACUGGGAUAACUUCGGGAAACCGGAGCUAAUACCGGAUAAUAUAUUGAACCGCAUGGUUCAAUAGUGAAAGACGGUUUUGCUGUCACUUAUAGAUGGAUCCGCGCCGCAUUAGCUAGUUGGUAAGGUAACGGCUUACCAAGGCGACGAUGCGUAGCCGACCUGAGAGGGUGAUCGGCCACACUGGAACUGAGACACGGUCCAGACUCCUACGGGAGGCAGCAAUAGGGAAUCUUCCGCAAUGGGCGAAAGCCUGACGGAGCAACGCCGCGUGAGUGAUGAAGGUCUUCGGAUCGUAAAACUCUGUUAUUAGGGAAGAACAAAUGUGUAAGUAACUAUGCACGUCUUGACGGUACCUAAUCAGAAAGCCACGGCUAACUACGUG